rnacentral:rRNA from 2 species
UGCAGUCGUACGCACUGGCCCAACUGAUUGAUGGUGCUUGCACCUGAUUGACGAUGGAUCACCAGUGAGUGGCGGACGGGUGAGUAACACGUAGGUAACCUGCCCCGGAGCGGGGGAUAACAUUUGGAAACAGAUGCUAAUACCGCAUAACAACAAAAGCCACAUGGCUUUUGUUUGAAAGAUGGCUUUGGCUAUCACUCUGGGAUGGACCUGCGGUGCAUUAGCUAGUUGGUAAGGUAACGGCUUACCAAGGCGAUGAUGCAUAGCCGAGUUGAGAGACUGAUCGGCCACAAUGGAACUGAGACACGGUCCAUACUCCUACGGGAGGCAGCAGUAGGGAAUCUUCCACAAUGGGCGCAAGCCUGAUGGAGCAACACCGCGUGAGUGAAGAAGGGUUUCGGCUCGUAAAGCUCUGUUGUUGGAGAAGAACGUGCGUGAGAGUAACUGUUCACGCAGUGACGGUAUCCAACCAGAAAGUCACGGCUAACUACGUGCCAGCAGCCGCGGUAAUACGUAGGUGGCAAGCGUUAUCCGGAUUUAUUGGGCGUAAAGCGAGCGCAGGCGGUUGCUUAGGUCUGAUGUGAAAGCCUUCGGCUUAACCGAAGAAGUGCAUCGGAAACCGGGCGACUUGAGUGCAGAAGAGGACAGUGGGAACUCCAUGUGUAGCGGUGGAAUGCGUAGAUAUAUGGAAGAACACCAGUGGCGAAGGCGGCUGUCUGGUCUGCAACUGACGCUGA